GCCUCGGUAGUGUAAGGGAUAGUGCACGGUGCCCGGAAAGCACAAAUACGGGUUCGAGUCCCGUCCGAGACU
rnacentral:tRNA from 1 species